CGGCCUUUUGCAAUGCAAGGUUGUCCCAAUCCACUCCUCUGAAAAAAGGAUGUGAUUUAACCUCUGUUGAUCCAUUCGCUCCUAAGCGUUGAUUUGGAUCAUGAGUAAUUAACCUGUUAAUGAAGUCUUGGGCCUCGUAAGACAUGCUGUCUGGAACAGGAGGCCAAGGGAUUUUUCUAUUAAGAAUGUUGUAAAAAAUUAUCUCAGGACUCUCAGCAGUGAAG
rnacentral:misc_RNA from 1 species